CAGUACCGUGAGGGAAAGGCGAAAAGAACCCCGGCGAGGGGAGUGAAAAAGAACCUGAAACCGUGUACGUACAAGCAGUGGGAGCCUCUUAAUGGGGUGACUGCGUACCUUUUGUAUAAUGGGUCAGCGACUUAUAUUCUGUAGCAAGGUUAACCGAAUAGGGGAGCCGAAGGGAAACCGAGUCUUAACUGGGCGUUAAGUUGCAGGGUAUAGACCCGAAACCCGGUGAUCUAGCCAUGGGCAGGUUGAAGGUUGGGUAACACUAACUGGAGGACCGAACCGACUAAUGUUGAAAAAUUAGCGGAUGACUUGUGGCUGGGGGUGAAAGGCCAAUCAAACCGGGAGAUAGCUGGUUCUCCCCGAAAGCUAUUUAGGUAGCGCCUCGUGAAUUCAUCUCCGGGGGUAGAGCACUGUUUCGGCAAGGGGGUCAUCCCGACUUACCAACCCGAUGCAAACUGCGAAUACCGGAGAAUGUUAUCACGGGAGACACACGGCGGGUGCUAACGUCCGUCGUGAAGAGGGAAACAACCCAGACCGCCAGCUAAGGUCCCAAAGUCAUGGUUAAGUGGGAAACGAUGUGGGAAGGCCCAGACAGCCAGGAUGUUGGCUUAGAAGCAGCCAUCAUUUAAAGAAAGCGUAAUAGCUCACUGGUCGAGUCGGCCUGCGCGGAAGAUGUAACGGGGCUAAACCAUGCACCGAAGCUGCGGCAGCGACACUAUGUGUUGUUGGGUAGGGGAGCGUUCUGUAAGCCUGUGAAGGUGGCCUGUGAGGGUUGCUGGAGGUAUCAGAAGUGCGAAUGCUGACAUAAGUAACGAUAAAGCGGGUGAAAAGCCCGCUCGCCGGAAGACCAAGGGUUCCUGUCCAACGUUAAUCGGGGCAGGGUGAGUCGACCCCUAAGGCGAGGCCGAAAGGCGUAGUCGAUGGGAAACAGGUUAAUAUUCCUGUACUUGGUGUUACUGCGAAGGGGGGACGGAGAAGGCUAUGUUGGCCGGGCGACGGUUGUCCCGGUUUAAGCGUGUAGGCUGGUUUUCCAGGCAAAUCCGGAAAAUCAAGGCUGAGGCGUGAUGACGAGGCACUACGGUGCUGAAGCGACAAAUGCCCUGCUUCCAGGAAAAGCCUCUAAGCAUCAGGUAACAUCAAAUCGUACCCCAAACCGACACAGGUGGUCAGGUAGAGAAUACCAAGGCGCUUGAGAGAACUCGGGUGAAGGAACUAGGCAAAAUGGUGCCGUAACUUCGGGAGAAGGCACGCUGAUAUGUAGGUGAAGCGACUUGCUCGUGGAGCUGAAAUCAGUCGAAGAUACCAGCUGGCUGCAACUGUUUAUUAAAAACACAGCACUGUGCAAACACGAAAGUGGACGUAUACGGUGUGACGCCUGCCCGGUGCCGGAAGGUUAAUUGAUGGGGUUAGCGGUAACGCGAAGCUCUUGAUCGAAGCCCCGGUAAACGGCGGCCGUAACUAUAACGGUCCUAAGGUAGCGAAAUUCCUUGUCGGGUAAGUUCCGACCUGCACGAAUGGCGUAAUGAUGGCCAGGCUGUCUCCACCCGAGACUCAGUGAAAUUGAACUCGCUGUGAAGAUGCAGUGUACCCGCGGCAAGACGGAAAGACCCCGUGAACCUUUACUAUAGCUUGACACUGAACAUUGAGCCUUGAUGUGUAGGAUAGGUGGGAGGCUUUGAAGUGUGGACGCCAGUCUGCAUGGAGCCGACCUUGAAAUACCACCCUUUAAUGUUUGAUGUUCUAACGUGGGCCCCUUACCGGGGUUGCGGACAGUGUCUGGUGGGUAGUUUGACUGGGGCGGUCUCCUCCUAAAGAGUAACGGAGGAGCACGAAGGUUGGCUAAUCCUGGUCGGACAUCAGGAGGUUAGUGCAAUGGCAUAAGCCAGCUUGACUGCGAGCGUGACGGCGCGAGCAGGUGCGAAAGCAGGUCAUAGUGAUCCGGUGGUUCUGAAUGGAAGGGCCAUCGCUCAACGGAUAAAAGGUACUCCGGGGAUAACAGGCUGAUACCGCCCAAGAGUUCAUAUCGACGGCGGUGUUUGGCACCUCGAUGUCGGCUCAUCACAUCCUGGGGCUGAAGUAGGUCCCAAGGGUAUGGCUGUUCGCCAUUUAAAGUGGUACGCGAGCUGGGUUUAGAACGUCGUGAGACAGUUCGGUCCCUAUCUGCCGUGGGCGCUGGAGAACUGAGGGGGGCUGCUCCUAGUACGAGAGGACCGGAGUGGACGCAUCACUGGUGUUCGGGUUGUCAUGCCAAUGGCACUGCCCGGUAGCUAAAUGCGGAAGAGAUAAGUGCUGAAAGCAUCUAAGCACGAAACUUGCCCCGAGAUGAGUUCUCCCUGACUCCUUGA
rnacentral:rRNA from 1 species